rnacentral:rRNA from 1 species
GACGAACGCUGGCGGCGUGCUUAACACAUGCAAGUCGAACGGAAAGGCCCCUUUGGGGGUACUCGAGUGGCGAACGGGUGAGUAACACGUGAGUAACCUGCCCUUGACUUCGGUAUAACUUCAGGAAACUGGGGCUAAUACCGGAUAGGAAUCCUUGCUGCAUGGUGGGGGUUGGAAAGCUUCGGCGGUUUUGGAUGGACUCGCGGCUUAUCAGCUUGUUGGUGGGGUAGUGGCUUACCAAGGCUUUGACGGGUAGCCGGCCUGGGAGGGCGACCGGCCACAUUGGGACUGAGAUACGGCCCAGACUCCUACGGGAGGCAGCAGUGGGGAAUAUUGCACAAUGGGCGGAAGCCUGAUGCAGCAACGCCGCGGGCGGGAUGACGGCCUUCGGGUUGUAAACCGCUUUCAGCAGGGGCGAAGCUUGUGGUGACGGUACCUGCAGAAGAAGCACCGGCUAACUACGUG